rnacentral:misc_RNA from 1 species
UACAGAGGGGGCGAGCGUUAUCCGGAAUUAUUGGGUUUAAAGGGUCCGUAGGCGGGCAGUUAAGUCAGUGGUGAAAGUCUUCCGCUUAACGGGAGAACUGCCAUUGAUACUGAUUGUCUUGAGUUAUUAUGAAGUGGUUAGAAUGAGUAGUGUAGCGGUGAAAUGCAUAGAUAUUACUCAGGAUACCGAUUGCGAAGGCAGAUCACUAAUAAUAUACUGACGCUGAUGGACGAAAGCGUAGGUAGCGAACAGG